UUUCUUUUUAAAAAAAAUAUUUUAUUAUUUUUAAUCAUGUGUAUUGUGUAUGGUCUGUGUGUGGGUAUGUCCAUUUGUUGCAUGCAGGUGCCUAUAGAAGCCAGAAGAGGGCAUCAAGUCCCCUGGAACUGGAGUUCCAGGCAGUUAUGAGUCACCUAACACAGGCGGUAGAAACUAGGAGAGUAACAUAGACGGCCACCACAUCUUCAGCAGGCAGGGGCAGAUUGGCAGCCCCACUGCCCUCCCAACCCUCUUUUGUUCCCUUAUUCGUCUGACGCCUUUCAUGGAGGAUCGGAUCCUUGUGCGAUCCUGUGGGGAGGUGGCAUAUUUCACAGGGUCACAAAGAGUAUUUCCAAAUCUGUGCCCUGUCCGUGAAACCAUGUGAGAGCUGCAGUGAGCCACAGUCGCCCCUGUGUGGCAGCCUGGCAUCGGGUCACGAUCGAGGGUAAAGCUCUCUUUCCUUCUCUCUGUGGUACAUCUUAUUACCCAGGCAGAGCCCCUGAGCUGCUUCGAGAAGCUGCAACUCCCACCCGCAGCUGCCCCUCUGCAAAGGCCAGGUCGGAGACCAAGGCCGGCAGGGGCUCCUUCCUCGCCAUCACCUCUCCCGUUUCCAUUCUUUCCCCUCUGUCUCUAACUAGCCUGUCCUCCCACCUUCUGCUGACUCAGAUAACAGUGGGUCUCGGCUCGGGCAGUAAAACCACAAGACGCCUCGAAGGAGCCUGAGCAGGAAAGAAACAUCGCUGGGGGAAGUUCAGCUGAGUCCUGCUUUCUCGAAUUAGCUGGAUGGAAGAGAAGCGGAUUCUAGCCGAGCACAUUCAGCGGCGGAAAGUGGUACGUUGCUGCCACCUAGAGGCAGCCAGCCUCAAAUUCAGAAGCCGUGGCCCCCAAACAGGAGGGGACCCAACAGAAAGGCGAGCGGUAACCGCUUAGUGGUGCUGGGAAAGUAGCUUGCUGUUAGCAAAGGCCUGGAAAGAGCUUUCAGGGAGGUGGCUAUGCUAAUUAAGACCCUGGACCGGACUAAGCUUCCCAGCAGUCUCUUGGGAGACCGGCAUUCAGUAAUGAAAUCUCCCAGGGUGCUUGGGAUGCAGCCCUAUUUCCCGUCAAGUCACUGAAAUCUAUCCUACAACAGACUUGCGAACCAGUAGCUCUGUGAGGAAAGAUGACUCUUGGACUCUUGGACAAUUUGGAAGGGGAAGCACCUGACGCAGGAACCAGAGAACCAGCUUGUUUCUGAUUGAGGCUGCGCUAAGAGCCCAGCCUGCUGGCCUGCGCAGUUUCCCCCUAAUGGUCCUGGGGUUCACAAUACACCAAGAAGCAAACGAACUGGGGGGACAGAAACCGCCAUAAAGGUGUGGAUUAGACCUGGGUCUGAAUCCCGCUACUUCGGCCAACAGCGCUACAGACCGGAUUUAAAUACUUCAUUGUUGUAAUAUUACAUAAUUUGCUUCUCUCUCUCCUUCCAAAAAUGGAAUAUACUGGGCCAUUUUCCCUGAGUCAUUGAGUCAGGGAAAGUUUACCGCUAGCUCGACUUCCUUCCUCAUGACUAAUGUUUUCUUAAGAAAGUUUUUCACAGCUGGAUAGAUGACUCAGCAGUCAGGGGUGCUUGUUCCACAAGCCUGAGUUUGACCCCCAGAGCCCCCUUAAAAGUGGAAGAGUAUGACCUCUGACGCAUUCUACAGGGGUGGGGAGCAAUAUACAUUUAUAAGAUUCCAGGUGGAAAGCACACAUUAUUCCUGCUACAGAUUUUCAACAAAAAAAGUACUACAACAACAACAUUCAAAUUGAAGAUUUCCAAGAGAAGGGUGUGAAACCUUAUUUUGACAAAUAGGUGAGCCUUUUAAAAAUAAACUACUGGGGCUGAAGAGAUGGCUGAGCAGUUGAAAGGUCCUGAGCUUGAUCCCCGGCACAUGGUGGCGCACCACCUUCUGUCCCAGGAGAUCCAGCGACCUCUUCUGGUCUCCCAGGGUAUGAAUGAACAAUAUGCACAAACGUUCAUGUAGACAAAACACCCAUAUCCAUAAAAUAUUUUUAAAAAAAAGAACGGUAACUAGUGCACCAGAGGGCGUCCCCGUUUCCUCCGCUUUUUGUUCCAUCGGGCUCCCAGCCUACUGGAUGGUGCUGUCCAUCUGCAGGGCGGGUCUCUGCCACCCCAAGCACGGCUCUCCUACCUGCACACCAAUCUUCUUCCAAAACAUCCCCACAAAUAAAACCAGACGUUUGCCAGUUUCCUGGUGACUCUGCAUCUGGGUACAUUGCUUCCCGUAAUUGUUGUCAUUGUCAGCUUCACGAAAAAGUACCUGGGACAUUUAGGAGACACACCUUUGGGUGUGUCUGUGAAGAGAGGGAGAAAGAUCCACUCCGGGUGUGCCCAGCACUGCUCUACAAGGGGGAUCCUGACUGUCUAAAAGCAGAAACGCCAGCUGAGUAUCAGUAUGCUUCCCGAUUCUCUAAGAUGUGAGCAAGCAGCCUCACCUUCCUGCAGCCGCGGCUAAGAGUGGUUCCUGCCACCGUGCCUCUCUGCUAGGAAGGACUGUUGCCUUAAACUGUGAGCUAAAUGAACGCUCCUUCCCUCAAGUCGCUCCUUAUCAUGUACUCAGUUCCAGCCUAGUCAUCGCGGGAAAGAAUAUAGGAUUGGAGGGCCUGGAGAAAUGGCUCAUCGGUUAAGAACACCAUUCUUGCAGAGAACCGGGGUUCUGUUCCCAGCACCCACGUGAUGGCUCACAACUAUCUAAGGAUCCGAGUGUCCCGUGUAUGAUUUCUUGCUGGCGAGAAAUACAGAGCGCGCGGGACAUAUGGUGCCGAAACCCGGGAACAUGUGAACAUCUCCAGCACCGCGGAGACCCCUCUAACGAGGCGGAUUCAGAACUGCAGGGUGGUAAAUUCGGAGAGGUAUGUUUUUUCUGGACUUUGGCUUGGGAAUGUUGCUAUUGUGGGAGGUUAAUAUAGAGGCUUCUAUGCUUUUACUAGGAGCUAUUUUGACUUUUCUCACCAUUGUA
ensembl:lncRNA